rnacentral:ncRNA from 2 species
ACAGACCUUCGGGGCAGGGUGAAAUUCCCGACCGGCGGUAAGCCUUAAACAGGCUUUUGAAAAGCAGUUUUAGGUAAGCCCGCGAGCUUUGGAUUGGUUGUACACCAGCCAGGGCAGAUCCGGUGAGAUUCCGGAGCCGACAGUAUAGUCUGGAUGGGAGAAGGUUAAG